AUGUACCACGCGUACGCUCCGGUUCCUGCGCGCCGUCCACACCCCCUGGCAACUGCUCGCUACGUUUUGUUAGCC
rnacentral:sRNA from 1 species